GCGUGCGACCAUGACCCGUAUUAGGAAACAACAAUUCCAUCCCGCAAUCGUUGCGAUCCUCUCCCUGCUCGCGCCGCCACACACGCUCGCGAUCCCCUUCCUGCUCGCUACGCCACACACGCCCGCUCCUAGAUGGCCGCUCGCGCCUCCUCCUCCCGCCCAACGCCGCUGCCUGCGCUCGCAGGUGGCCAUGCCCAACGCCCGCGCCUGCUCGUAGGUGGCUCGCCGCGCCCGCUCGUGCCUCCUCCUCCGCCCAACACCUCUGCACGUGCAGCUCGCACCGCACGCGCUCGUUGCCUGCGCUCGCCGGUGGCCGGGCCCAAUGCACGUGCCCACUGCGUGGGAUACAUGGAGGUUGCCGUCGGAGAUGCCGUCGCGUGGGAUAAGUAGAGGUCGCCAUCAGAGACCACUCCGCACCUGCACCGAGCACCUCGCCAAGUCAGACUGCCCCUGCCUUCGAUCAUCAAACUGCUACCGCAGGAGCUGCGGCCAACGUCAACGAGCAUCGCCGGCUCGACAACAAGAUGAACCCCUACGCCCCGAUCUCUCGCUCUAUCUCCCUUGGCUAGAUCAACGUUGGGGCGGUUAGAUCGACGUCGUCUCCAACCGGAUCGACAUCAUGGGCGCCACCCCAUCGAUGUGUUGCGCCCCUUCGUCUCCCCUAACUUGACCAGUGUUGGGGCACAUGGAUUGGCGCCGCCCCCAGCCACAUCAACAUAGUCGCCCUCCAGUUGAUGUGCCCCCUCCUUUGUCUCCCCCAACUAGAUCUGCGUUGUGGCGAUCAGAUCGAUGUCGUCGCCAGUCAAAUCGAUGCCUUGGCCGCCCUCCCAUCGACACGCCACCACAUUGGCAUAUGUGUUCAUCUCCUAGCUCCCUCUCCCUUCUUAUGCAUUUUGAAUUUCAAGAUUGGGCAUUUGUAUAGUCGGAUUGUCGCGUGUUGUGGUUUUUCUAGCAUUUCUCAGUUUGAGUUUUUGUCUGAUGGGUUUGUUGGUGUCGGUGUUGCAGAGAUUGUGGCAGCAACGUCCAUCGCGAGCCACGGGCGGAUGUCGCGUACUGCAUCCAUGCGCUUGCCCGGCGCGACAAGCCAAAACCAGGAACUAGAUUCUUUUAAAGGUAGCCGCUGUAUAAGCUCAGACCAAGCAAAUUCCGUGCAGCAAUUGAGGCAGCUUUUCUCACUGAACGUGAUUUUUUAUCAAAAAAUGGAUGGGGUAUGCUCACUGCGGAAGUCUGUAAAUAAGCAGUCUGAUCCUAAUAGCUUUCAGGAAGAGGCGAAUUCAAAUAACGAGCAAGAGUGCCAAUCCGAUUCUCAGGUUGUUCGAAAAUUGGCACUGUCUUGUGAUAGCUGUGAUAAUCGCCUACCAUCCAAGGUUCCGAAAAAAAGGAAGCAAGGGAUGAGCAGGUGCUCGGCACUACGAAAAGGUUUGUGGCUAACCUUUUGAGUUGUGAGAUACUUCAUCUCAGGUAUUCUUUACACAUCCUUUCUUCCUUUUGAUGACCCAUGUCUAUAAGAAUUACUCUGUAGUUAUUGUAGUUGAAAUAAUACUAUGGCAUAUGUAAGAAAAUUUAGCACCACACAGAUGGUGGAAACUGGGUAAGAGCUUAGAAGAAUACAUGCUUUGGUUGUAUAUCCUCUUGAAUAUUCUGGGUACUGGCUUGAAAGGCACUUUGUCCCGGGUUUGUUAUGAUGAGUGCCACAUUUGGGUUCACAUUGAAUGUGACCUGACAUGCAACAACGUGGAGGUUAUUUCCUUACUAUUGUAUGAUGACAUUUUGAUGUCCUUAUUGCUUGAUAUCUAUAUGCAACUAUUUGAUAAAUACCUUUUCUUAACUUGGCAUUGUGUCAUAGGAUUUAGAAAAGACAGAUUAUUACUGUCUGAAAUGCAAACUAAAACGCAAAACAGUUCUAGCAACAGCAAAAAUGAAUACUUCCAAUAGUUCAGAAUGUGCUAGCACUUCAAAGGAAAAGUUGGCCGCAAUGAUAGAUAUUUGCUACAACAGCGAGGAGGCACUGUAUGUACCUGACAAGCACAUGUAAUUAUUUGGUAUUUUGGUGGUAUCUCACUGUAAUUUAGAACAUAUAUUAUUCAAUGUGUUGGGAGAGUAGGCUCACAUUUUGUGUUAUGUGAUUUUGUUAUUGCAAUACUCACUCUUAAGUAUUAUUUAGUGGAUGGCGGGCAUUGUAAUGUUGACUAUGUAGACCAGAAACACCCAACCAACUUUAAUAUAAUGAUGCAUAAUUUUCCUGUGCAUCCAAGAAAUA